rnacentral:rRNA from 1 species
GCAGUCGAGCGAACAGAUAAGGAGCUUGCUCCUUUGAAGUUAGCGGCGGACGGGUGAGUAACACGUGGGUAACCUACCUAUAAGACUGGGAUAACUUCGGGAAACCGGAGCUAAUACCGGAUAACAUUUAGAACCGCAUGGUUCUAAAGUGAAAGAUGGUUUUGCUAUCACUUAUAGAUGGACCCGCGCCGUAUUAGCUAGUUGGUAAGGUAACGGCUUACCAAGGCGACGAUACGUAGCCGACCUGAGAGGGUGAUCGGCCACACUGGAACUGAGACACGGUCCAGACUCCUACGGGAGGCAGCAGUAGGGAAUCUUCCGCAAUGGGCGAAAGCCUGACGGAGCAACGCCGCGUGAGUGAUGAAGGGUUUCGGCUCGUAAAACUCUGUUAUUAGGGAAGAACAAAUGUGUAAGUAACUGUGCACAUCUUGACGGUACCUAAUCAGAAAGCCACGGCUAACUACGUGCCAGCAGCCGCGGUAAUACGUAGGUGGCAAGCGUUAUCCGGAAUUAUUGGGCGUAAAGCGCGCGUAGGCGGUUUCUUAAGUCUGAUGUGAAAGCCCACGGCUCAACCGUGGAGGGUCAUUGGAAACUGGGAAACUUGAGUGCAGAAGAGGAAAGUGGAAUUCCAUGUGUAGCGGUGAAAUGCGCAGAGAUAUGGAGGAACACCAGUGGCGAAGGCGACUUUCUGGUCUGUAACUGACGCUGAUGUGCGAAAGCGUGGGGAUCAAACAGGAUUAGAUACCCUGGUAGUCCACGCCGUAAACGAUGAGUGCUAAGUGUUAGGGGGUUUCCGCCCCUUAGUGCUGCAGCUAACGCAUUAAGCACUCCGCCUGGGGAGUACGACCGCAAGGUUGAAACUCAAAGGAAUUGACGGGGACCCGCACAAGCGGUGGAGCAUGUGGUUUAAUUCGAAGCAACGCGAAGAACCUUACCAAAUCUUGACAUCCUUUGAAAACUCUAGAGAUAGAGCCUUCCCCUUCGGGGGACAAAGUGACAGGUGGUGCAUGG